GGUGGGUGAGGAGAGUAUCCUAAGGCCAGCGAGAGAACUGUUGUUAUGGAACUCGGCAAAAUGACCCCGCAACUUAGGGAUAAGGGGUGCCACCAUCAGGUGGCCGCAGAGAAUAGGCCCAAGCGACUGUUUACCCAAAACAUAGGUUUCUGCUGAGUCGCAAGACGAUGUAUAGGAGCUGACGCCUGCCCGGUGCUGGAAGGGUAAGGGGAUCUGUUAGAGCAAUCGAAGCAGUGAACUUAAGCCCCAGUAAACGGCGGCCGGAACUAUAACGGGCCUCAGGUAGCGAAAUUCCUUGUCGGGUAAGUUCCGACCCGCACGAAAGGCGUAACGAUUUGGGCACUGUCUCA
rnacentral:rRNA from 1 species